GUGUCCAGAUGGCUCAGUGGUCAGAGCAUCUGCUUAGUAAGCAGGAGGCACGGGUUCGAAUUCCCGUCUGGCACA